rnacentral:misc_RNA from 1 species
AAAUCCCACUGCUGUUCCCUUCUCGGCUACACAGAAACUCUCAACCCCAUCCUCUCAGCUAACCAAAUAUGAGAGCUUCAGUCAUUCUGGCCAUCUUCCUCCUCCUCGCACUCCGGUGCUCGGCGGAGGAUGCAGUGCCAACUCGGUUCGAUACCGGUGGGCUGAGCCGGGGCAAGUUUCCUAAGGGAUUCGUGUUCGGGACGGCGGCGUCGGCGUACCAGGUGGAGGGAAUGGCUCUGAAGGAUGGCCGGGGGCCAUCGAUUUGGGACACCUUCAUUAAGAUUCCAGGAGAGAUAAAAAACAAUGCUACUGCUGCUGUGACUGUGGAUGAGUAUCAUCGGUACAAGGAGGAUAUCAACAUCAUGAAAAGCAUGAACUUUGAUGCAUAUCGAUUCUCAAUCUCGUGGUCCCGGAUUUUUCCAAGGGGAGUUGGAAGGGUAAAUUGGAAAGGGGUUGCUUAUUACAACAGGUUGAUUGAUUACAUGAUAAAACAAGGAAUUACUCCCUAUGCAAACCUGUAUCACUAUGAUCUCCCCGAUGCACUUGAAAAGAAAUACAACGGAUUGCUAAGCAGAAGAGUAGUAAAGGAUUAUGCCGAUUAUGCCGAAUUUUGUUUCAAGACAUUUGGCGACAGGGUGAAAUAUUGGAUGACGUUUAACGAACCAAGGGUGGUGGCAGCCCUAGGAUAUGAUGAUGGUUCAUUUGCCCCUGGAAGGUGUACCAAUUGCUCGGCUGGAGGAAACUCUGCAACAGAGCCUUACAUUGUUGCUCAUAACAUACUUCUAUCUCAUGCUACCGCAGUAAAGAGAUACCGGGACAAGUAUCAGGCUAAACAAAAGGGGCGGAUUGGAAUUCUCUUAGAUUUUGUAUGGUAUGAACCUCUCACAAACUCAACAGACGAUGAGGCAGCAGCUCAAAGAUCAAGGGACUUCCAUAUUGGAUGGUUUCUACACCCUAUAACAUAUGGCCACUACCCAAAAACAAUGCAAGAUAUUGUAAAGGAGAGGCUUCCGAAAUUCACUCCGGAAGAAAUUAGUUUGGUGAAAGGCUCUAUAGAUUUUUUGGGAGUUAACCAAUAUACUGCUUACUACAUGUUUGAUCCUCAUCAGACCCAAGUGGCACCAACCCGUUAUCAACUUGACUGGAACGCUGGUUUUGCUUAUGCACGCAAUGGAGUGCCAAUUGGUCCACGGGCUUACUCUACCUGGCUUUACAUCGUCCCAUGGGGAAUGUACAACGCUGUGACUUAUGUUAAACAGAACUAUGGCAAUCCGACAAUCGUACUGUCGGAAAAUGGAAUGGAUGAUCCCGGUAACGUAACUCUCCCAGCUGGAUUACAUGACACAACCAGACUCAAUUAUUACAAGAGCUAUAUUACUGAACUCAAGAGAGCUAUGGAUGAUGGCGCAAACGUUGUUGGCUACUUCGCAUGGUCGCUGCUUGAUAAUUUUGAGUGGAAAUCGGGCUACACCUCAAGAUUUGGUAUAGUCUAUGUGGACUACAAGAACCUAAAAAGGUACCCAAAGAUGUCAGCUUACUGGUUCAAGCAGAUACUGCAGAGGAAGAACUGAGGGAAGUUAAGAAUUUACUUCUGUCGGCAGUUGGUUUUAAUAGCUCUGAAUAACAGGCUGUCUUUUGUCCCCAAGCCUGCAUCGAUGUAGGGGUCAAUAAAAUGGUCAACCCAGUGCUGGAAUUUAUUGCCUGAGGUGUCAAAUGUUUGCAACAUUCUCAAAGUUAUUACUUUGGGAGUGGAAUUUGUAGUUUUCUAUUAUGA